UACGUAGGGUGCGAGCGUUGUCCGGAAUUAUUGGGCGUAAAGGGCUCGUAGGCGGUUUGUCGCGUCGGGAGUGAAAACACUGGGCUUAACUCAGUGCUGGCUUUCGAUACGGGCAGACUAGAGGUAUGCAGGGGAGAACGGAAUUCCUGGUGUAGCGGUGAAAUGCGCAGAUAUCAGGAGGAACACCGGUGGCGAAGGCGGAUCUCUGGGCCAUUACUGACGCUGAGGAGCGAAAGCGUGGGGAGCGAACAGG
rnacentral:rRNA from 1 species